rnacentral:rRNA from 1 species
AGCGAACGCUGGCGGCAGGCCUAACACAUGCAAGUCGAACGAACCUUUCGGGGUUAGUGGCGGACGGGUGAGUAACACGUGGGAACGUGCCUUUAGGUUCGGAAUAACUCAGGGAAACUUGUGCUAAUACCGAAUGUGCCCUUCGGGGGAAAGAUUUAUCGCCUUUAGAGCGGCCCGCGUCUGAUUAGCUAGUUGGUUGAGGUAAUGGCUCACCAAGGCGACGAUCAGUAGCUGGUCUGAGAGUAUGAUCAGCCACAUUGGGACUGAGACACGGCCCAAACUCCUACGGGAGGCAGCAGUGGGGAAUCUUGCGCAAUGGGCGAAAGCCUGACGCAGCCAUGCCGCGUGAAUGAUGAAGGUCUUAGGAUUGUAAAAUUCUUUCACCGGGGACGAUAAUGACAGUACCCGGAGAAGAAGCCCCGGCUAACUUCGUG